UCUGAUGCGUCUGUUCUUAGGUGCUCAGAGAAGGGAACGGAAAGCCCAGUUGCUCCUGACGCAAUUGUCUUCACACAGGGCAGGGCUCCGCCGGUAUUUCCAUCACUUGCGUCUGCGCUGUUCUAUUAGCAGUGGAUUCAACAAUGGAGCACACCGAUGUCUGGAAAUGAGACGUCGCUUACCACUCAGAAAUGCAGAAGGAGCGGGGUCUGCGGGAAAAGGGUCCCAACAUUUGACUAGCCGCUGGGAUCAAAAAGGGGCGUCACUCUUUCGUAGCAUCAGAAGUAUCCGAAAGAAUGAGCAGUAAGAAAAGCUCCGUGGCACCAAUUCUACCUUCAGUGCCUCCCAUCGAGACCUGCUCUCCAGUGCUACCCACGCACCUCUGCGGCCUCCGAUGGAUUUCUGCUGCUAUACCCGCCUGGCGUCACCUAGGACAUGGAACCUGAGGAUUUACCAUGGAUCAAUGCUCUUUUGCCCGGUCAGAUCAUCCCUGAAGUUUCCUAAAGCCUCGUGGGAUAAUUUACUUGGAGACAGGGACAGCAGCUUUCAUUGCCACUGAACUUGGCCAAAUGAGGCAUCUCAAGCAGCAGAGGGUGCUGCUAAUGAGAAUGCCAUCAGCUGAUUUAUCCCUUUUACUAGAGGAACUUCUAUGACCCUGUCGCAUGAGUCCACAGAGCAGCUGUCAGUGCCCCUGGACCUGUUCUCCAAGAGGAAAUGUUUAUGCACUACAUUAAUUUUUCAGGCUCGCCUGAGGAGUCAGUUGGCCUUUCGCUCCCUUGCGCAUUAUUCAAACCACAAUCAGCCCUAUGACGGAGUGACAGCACCUCUCUGUCUCUGUUUAACAGAAACUCCACAUCAAAGGGUGUCCAUCCAAGCCAAGGGAGGCCUGUGUAUAUAUUUGAAAACACAAUAGUGUAAGAAUUACGAAACAAACAAGGCUUCAAAGCAGCAACAGCUCUUCUCCUUCCUACAAAACAUCAUGUGAUCAAUACAGCUUAACCUCCCCACCAACAGACUCAAGUGAAUUUGAUGUUGAUGAAAUGUGGUGGAUUGACAGCACUAGAGAUCUGAGCCAUUGGUAAUCUGACUGGUGCCUUUGCAUUUAGAGUAAAUUGGCUGAAAUUGGGAACAAGAGGCCAGUCGCUGUGGUGGGUGCGGCUGGUAAAGGUGCAUUGCAAAGUCUCAUUACAAUUGAGAAUGAUUAUGGUAAACUUCAGAGGAUGCACACAGCCACCUCUGAUUUAAGACCUUUUUCAAUUGUACAUUAAUAAUAAGUCUCCCUUAACUCAUGUGUUCAGUUUCUGUUACUUGAAAAUGUGGUGUUAAAGUAUAAAUAUUAUAGCCAGUUACUUCAUUCUAUCAUUCAUUUAUUGUGUGUUGUGUGAUGUUAUGAUUAACUGACAUACCGUGUAAUAUAUAAUCAUUAUAUGUUGAAUAGACUGAAGUAGUAGGAUUAUAUAAGUAUAAGAUUGAUCAGUAAUUAGAAGGACUAAGUGUGUAUUAGGUAUCUAAGUAAAUAGUGCUGAAACACAAGGCCUACAGGCUGAGGCCUGUAAGAUUUUAGCUUAGCCAUACUAGGCCUUACAAUUAAGAAAUGCUUGACAUAAGUAAGUGACCAAAGAAUAACCCAAUGCCAUAAGAUUACAGGAAAAAAAUGUACCAAUGGGUGAUACUGCGAAAAAUUAGCCGUAAGUUUCAUUUUAGAUCACAACGUGCCCGAGAGGCACAUUUUUUCUAACACAUGCUUGCGGUGAGCAGGAUACAGGUUGUACGUCAGUGCUAACGAGAAUAAAAGGAACUAUACACAACCUAUGAAAAAUGCGGUACCCCAGUAUUCUUGGGAGACACAAUACAAAUGAGGAAAAAGAGGGUUGACACUUUCACACACAGGCAUAGUGAGAAUCACAUUAAAAAAGAAGGUGCCCAGAUUGGGAAAAUUGAGUUCCCUGCGGGAAAAUUCGAGCAGGAACCAUCCCUAUACUGAUGAUCAAUUAAUGAGCGAUCCAUCAGACCGUAAGACUAUCUAGGAGGAUUUGAGUAUGACUGUAGCUAUAAAUUGUGCAUGAAUAUAUGUAGGAUUUAUCUAUGCUUGGACAGUCAUAACUUUGCUGGUAACGUUAAUAAAAAUUGACAAAGGAUAUUGGACAUUGUUCUUGUGACUGUCU